CGUUUUUGGAUUUAAUGAAAGAUUUUUUCUGCUCAAUGAAACUUUUUUUUUAAAUAGCUGCAGUAAAAUGACUGUGCGAAGGUAGCAUAAUCAUUAGUUUUUUAAUUGUGAACUGGAAUGAAUGGAUGGAUGAUGAUUAAUUGUCUUUUGAUUAAUAAGUUUGAAUUUGACUUGUAGAUUAAAAGGUUUAUUGAAUUUUAAGGGACGAUAAGACCCUAUAGAACUUAAAUGAAUUAAUUGAGGAUGUUGUGAAUAUUAUGUAGUUUUAAUUGGGGUGAUUUCUAGAAAAAUUUAACUUUGGUUAGUGAAAUACAAUUAUGAUUGAAUUUAAUUAGUUGUUGGUUAAUACAAAAUAUAAGUUACCUUAGGGGUAACAGCAUUAUCUUUUUGGAGAGUUCUUAUUUAUAAAAGGGUUUGUGACCUCGAUGUUGAAUUAAGAUAAAAUUUGGGGGCAGUAUUUCAAUUUUUUGGUCUGUUCGACCAUUAAGAUCUUACA
rnacentral:rRNA from 1 species